rnacentral:rRNA from 1 species
GACGAGUUUUGAUCAUGGCUCAGGAUGAACGCUAGGCGGCGUGCCUAAUACAUGCAAGUCGAACGAGGUGCUUUUGUAGCAAUACGAGAGUAUCCUAGUGGCGAACGGGUGAGUAACGCGUGGAUGACCUGCCCCAAAGUNUGGGAUAACAGUCCGAAAGGAUUGCUAAUACCUCAUGUGGUUANCGGUUUUAGAAAGCGAUAACUAAAGCAGCAAUGCGCUUUGGGAGGGAUCUGCGUCCCAUCAGCUAGUUGGUGAGGUAACGGCUCACCAAGGCGACGACGGGUAGGGGACCUGAGAGGGUGGCCCCCCACAAUGGAACUGAAACACGGUCCAUACACCUACGGGUGGCAGCAGUAGGGAAUAUUGCUCAAUGGGCGAAAGCCUGAAGCAGCAACGCCGCGUGUGCGAUGAAGGCCUUCGGGUCGUAAAGCACUUUCUAAGAGAUGAGAAAGGACAGUAUCUUAGGAAUAAGUCUCGGCUAACUACGUG